rnacentral:rRNA from 1 species
CCUGGUUGAUCCUGCCAGUAGUCAUAUGCUUGUCUCAAAGAUUAAGCCAUGCAUGUGUAAGCACACACUGUUUUAAAAGUGAAGCCGCGAAUGGCUCAUUACAACAGCCACAGUUUAUUAGAACUUACAAUCAUGGAUAACUGUGGUAAUUCUAGAGCUAAUACACGCACAAAAACUUCAACUGAAUUGGUUGAAGUGCUUUUAUUAGAACAAAAACCGAACGGCGUUUGGCGAAUGUUGAACGUCGAAACUGUUUGGUGAAUCUGAAUAACUAUUUCUGAUCGCAUGGUCUAGCACCGGCGACAUCACUUUCAAGUGUCUGCCUUAUCAACCUUCGAUGGUAGUCUAUGCGACUACCAUGGUGAUAACGGGUAACGGAGAAUCAGGGUUCGACUCCGGAGAGGGAGCCUGAGAAACGGCUACCACAUCCAAGGAAGGCAGCAGGCGCGCAAAUUACCCACUCCCAGCUUGGGGAGGUAGUGACGAAAAAUAACGAGACGAUUCUCGUUUGAGAAACGUUAUCGAAAUGAGUACGCUUUACACACGCUAACGAGUAGCAAUUGGAGGGCAAGUCUGGUGCCAGCAGCCGCGGUAAUUCCAGCUCCAAUAGCGUAUAUUAAAGUUGCUGCGGUUAAAACGCUCGUAGUUGAAUUGUGGUCUUAGACAACAGUCCCCCUACAUAGGUGUGGCACGGUUGCUCGAGAUCUUCAUUCGUGGUUGCUGUUGUUGCUCUUCAUUGAGUGUCAAUGGUGCCUCGAGAUUUUACUUUGAAAAAUUAGAGUGCUCAAAGCAGGUUGUGAUGCCUGAAUAAUGGUGCAUGGAAUAAUAGAAUACGAUCUCGGUUCUAUUUUGUUGGUUUUCGAACCGGAGAUAAUGAUUGAAAGGAACAGACGGGGGCAUUCGUAUUGCUGCGUUAGAGGUGAAAUUCUUGGAUCGCAGCAAGAUGAACAAUUGCGAAAGCAUUUGCCAAGAAUGUUUUCAUUAAUCAAGAACGAAAGUUAGAGGUUCGAAGGCGAUCAGAUACCGCCCUAGUUCUAACGGUAAACUAUGCCAACCAGCGAUUCGCCGAAGUUCAUUUAAGACUCGGCGAGCAGCUUCCGGGAAACCAAAGUGUUUCGGUUCCGGGGAAGUAUGGUUGCAAAGCUGAAACUUAAAGGAAUUGACGGAAGGGCACCACCAGGAGUGGAGCCUGCGGCUUAAUUUGACUCAACACGGGAAAACUCACCCGGCCCGGACACUGGAAGGAUUGACAGAUUGACAGCUCUUUCUUGAUUCAGUGGGUAGUGGUGCAUGGCCGUUCUUAGUUGGUGGAGCGAUUUGUCUGGUUAAUUCCGAUAACGAACGAGACUCUACCCUAUUAAAUAGUGACAGUAUUGUAUUUUUUGUGCUGAUCACUUCUUAGAGGGACUGGCAAAUUGAAAGCUGCACGAAAAAGAGCAAUAACAGGUCUGUGAUGCCCUUCGAUGUCCGGGGCUGCACGCGCGCUACAAUGAAAGCGUCAACGUGAGUUACGUCCUUACCUGAAAAGGUUUGGCAAUCGAAUGAAACGUUUUCUUGAAUGGAAUAGGGAAUUGCAAUUGUUUCCCUUGAACGAGGAAUUCCCAGUAAGCGUGAGUCAUUAGCUCGCGUGAUUACGUCCCUGCCCUUUGUACACACCGCCCGUCGCUACUACCGAUUGGAUGAUUUAGUGAGGUGUUUUGACUGGCGCCAGUAGUCGGAUGUAUUCGGCUUCGCGCCGGGAAAUUUCCCAAACCAAUCAUCUAGAGGAAGUAAAAGUCGUAACAAGGUUUCCGUAGGUGAACCUGCGGAAG